rnacentral:rRNA from 1 species
CUUGCUUCUCUUGAGAGCGGCGGACGGGUGAGUAAUGCCUAGGAAUCUGCCUGGUAGUGGGGGAUAACGUCCGGAAACGGACGCUAAUACCGCAUACGUCCUACGGGAGAAAGCAGGGGACCUUCGGGCCUUGCGCUAUCAGAUGAGCCUAGGUCGGAUUAGCUAGUUGGUGGGGUAAUGGCUCACCAAGGCGACGAUCCGUAACUGGUCUGAGAGGAUGAUCAGUCACACUGGAACUGAGACACGGUCCAGACUCCUACGGGAGGCAGCAGUGGGGAAUAUUGGACAAUGGGCGAAAGCCUGAUCCAGCCAUGCCGCGUGUGUGAAGAAGGUCUUCGGAUUGUAAAGCACUUUAAGUUGGGAGGAAGGGCAGUAAAUUAAUACUUUGCUGUUUUGACGUUACCGACAGAAUAAGCACCGGCUAACUCUGUGCCAGCAGCCGCGGUAAUACAGAGGGUGCAAGCGUUAAUCGGAAUUACUGGGCGUAAAGCGCGCGUAGUGGUUCGUUAAGUUGGAUGUGAAAUCCCCGGGCUCAACCCUGGGAACUGCAUUCAAAACUGACGAGCUAGAGUAUGGUAGAGGGUGGUGGAAUUUCCUGUGUAGCGGUGAA